AAGAGGGAACCCGGUGGGAAUCCGGGACUGUCCCGCAGCGGUGAGUGGGAACGAAAGCCGUCAACAGCACUGGGCCCCAGAUGAGUUGGAGCCCGGGAAGCGACGGCCGGUAGGUGCCCGCCGGUGAUCCGUGUCCCCGGUGAGCGCGCCCACGAGUCCGAAGACCU
rnacentral:ncRNA from 2 species